rnacentral:rRNA from 1 species
GGGCCUUGGUAGCGCAGCUAACGCGUGAAGUUGACCGCCUGGGGAGUACGGUCGCAAGAUUAAAACUCAAAGGAAUUGACGGGGACCCGCACAAGCGGUGGAUGAUGUGGAUUAAUUCGAUGCAACGCGAAAAACCUUACCUACCCUUGACAUGUCUGGAAUGCCGAAGAGAUUUGGCAGUGCUCGCAAGAGAACCGGAACACAGGUGCUGCAUGGCUGUCGUCAGCUCGUGUCGUGAGAUGUUGGGUUAAGUCCCGCAACGAGCGCAACCCUUGUCAUUAGUUGCUACGAAAGGGCACUCUAAUGAGACUGCCGGUGACAAACCGGAGGAAGGUGGGGAUGACGUCAAGUCCUCAUGGCCCUUAUGGGUAGGGCUUCACACGUCAUACAAUGGUCGGGACAGAGGGUCGCCAACCCGCGAGGGGGAGCCAAUCCCAGAAACCCGAUCGUAGUCCGGAUCGCAGUCUGCAACUCGACUGCGUGAAGUCGGAAUCGCUAGUAAUCGCGGAUCAGCAUGUCGCGGUGAA